AUUGAACGCUGGCGGCAGGCCUAACACAUGCAAGUCGAGCGGAUGAAGGGAGCUUGCUCCUGGAUUCAGCGGCGGACGGGUGAGUAAUGCCUAGGAAUCUGCCUGGUAGUGGGGGAUAACGUCCGGAAACGGGCGCUAAUACCGCAUACGUCCUGAGGGAGAAAGUGGGGAUCUUCGGACCUCACGCUAUCAGAUGAGCCCAGGUCAGAUUAGCUAGUUGGUGGGGUAAAGGCCUACCAAGGCGACGAUCCGUAACUGGUCUGAGAGGAUGAUCAGUCACACUGGAACUGAGACACGGUCCAGACUCCUACGGGAGGCAGCAGUGGGGAAUAUUGGACAAUGGGCGAAAGCCUGAUCCAGCCAUGCCGCGUGUGUGAAGAAGGUCUUCGGAUUGUAAAGCACUUUAAGUUGGGAGGAAGGGCAGUAAGUUAAUACCUUGCUGUUUUGACGUUACCAACAGAAUAAGCACCGGCUAACUUCGU
rnacentral:rRNA from 1 species